rnacentral:rRNA from 1 species
CACAUGCAAGUGAGCGGAUUGAUGAUAGCUUGCUAUUGAUCAUGAGAGCAGCGCACUGGUGAGUAACACGUGGGAACAUACCUUUUGGUGGGGACGAACAGUUGGAAACGACUGCUAAUACCGACAUAAGCCCUAAGGGGGAAAGAUUUAUCGGCCGAGAGAUUGGCCCGCGGAAGAUUAGGUAGUAGGUGGGGUAACGGCCUACCUAGCCGACGAUCUAUAGCUGGUCUGAGAGGACGAUCAGCCACAUUGGAACUGAGACACGGUCCAGACUCCUACGGGAGGCAGCAGUGAGGAAUAUUGGGCAAUGGAGGCAACUCUGAACCCCAGCCAUGCCGCGUGAGUGAAGAAGGUUUUCGGAUUGUAAAGCUCUUUCAGACGGGAAGAUGAUGACGGUACCGUCAGAAGAAGCACCGGCUAACUUCGUGCCAGCCGCCGC